UGGAGAGUUUGAUCCUGGCUCAGGACGAACGCUGGCGGCGUGCCUAACACAUGCAAGUCAAGGGGAAAGGCGAACUUCGGUUUGCCGAGUAUACUGGCGGACGGGUGAGUAACGCGUAGGCAACCUGCCCCUAUGCCUGGGAUAACCUCGAGAAAUCGGGGCUAAUACCGGAUAAGGUUAUCGUAACGCAUGUUAUGGUAAUCAAAGGUGCCGCAAGGUACUGCAUAGGGAUGGGCCUGCGUUCCAUUAGCUAGAUGGUGAGGUAACGGCUCACCAUGGCGACGAUGGAUAGCUGAUCUGAGAGGAUGAUCAGCCACACUGGGAUUGAGAUACGGCCCAGACUCCUACGGGAGGCAGCAGUGAGGAAUAUUGCGCAAUGGGGGCAACCCUGACGCAGCAACGCCGCGUGGGGGAAGAAGCUCUAUGGAGUGUAAACCCCUGUAGGUAGGGAAGAAAGUCAUGGCUUCGCAAGGGGUCAUGUUUGACGGUACCUGCAAAGUAAGCUCCGGCUAACUCCGUGCCAGCAGCCGCGGUAAUACGGGGGGAGCAAGCGUUGUCCGGAAUCACUGGGCGUAAAGGGCGUGUAGGCGGUCUGGUAAGUCAGAUGUGAAAUCCCACGGCUUAACCGUGGCAUUGCAUUUGAAACUGCCAGACUUGAGUGCGAGAGAGGGUAGUGGAAUUCCCGGUGUAGCGGUGAAAUGCGUAGAUAUCGGGAAGAACACCAGUAGCGAAGGCGGCUACCUGGCUCGU
rnacentral:rRNA from 1 species